rnacentral:rRNA from 1 species
CAAAGAAAGCGUAAUAGCUCACUAGUCAAGCGACUCUGCGCCGAAAACGUAUGGGGCUAAGCAUGAUACCGAAAUCGUAGGAUCGGAGUAAUCCGAUCGGUAGGGGAGCGUUCUGUUGUAGGACGAAGUGCGACCGGAAGGACGCAUGGACGAAGCAGAAGUGAGACUGUCGGCUUAAGUAGCGAAAACAUUGGUGAGAAUCCAAUGCUCCGAAAUCCUAAGGUUUCCUUUGCUAGGUUCGUCCACGAAGGGUUAGUCAGGGCCUAAGAUGAGGCUGAAAAGCGUAGUCGAUGCACAACGGGUUAAUAUUCCCGUGCAACCGUAGAUCGUUAUGAGCAAAGUCGGAACGCAGGAGGCUAUAUGACUGGGGCGAAAUGGAUAUCGUCUCCACCAAAGGCGUAGCAAGUUCAGGUAGGCAAAUCCGCCUGGGCGUUUUAAAGUAAGGCCGAGUAAGGAAGGUCCCACGGGACCAACACCAUAGACGCCACGCUGCCGAGAAAAGCGGCGUCGCCAGAUCGAAGGUUCUCGUACCCGAAACCGACACAGGUAGUCUGGUAGAGAAUACCAAGGUGCGCGAGAUAACUCUCUCUAAGGAACUCGGCAAAAUAACCUCGUAACUUCGGAAGAAGAGGUGCCCUGCUAGCGUGUAAGCCUUCGCGGCUGAAGCGUGAGAGGGUCGCAGCGACGAGGCUCAAGCGACUGUUUAACAAAAACACAGGUCUCUGCAAACCCGUAAGGGGAAGUAUAGGGGCUGACUCCUGCCCAGUGCCGGAAGGUUAAGUGGAUCGGUUAGCGCAAGCGAAGCUGAGAAACAAAGCCCCGGUGAACGGCGGCCGUAACUAUAACGGUCCUAAGGUAGCGAAAUUCCUUGUCGGGUAAGUUCCGACCCGCACGAAUGGAGUAACGAUUUGAGCGCUGUCUCGGAGAGAGACUCGGCGAAAUAGGAUUGUCUGUGAAGAUACGGACUAGGCGUGCCAGGACAGAAAGACCCUAUUGAGCUUUACUGUAGGCUGAAAUUGUCUGCGGGCUAUAUCUGCGCAGGAUAGGUGGGAGACUUUGAAGUCAGGAUUUUGGUUCUGAUGGAGUCAACGUUGAGAUACCACUCUGAUGUAGCUAGCAUACUAACCUGAUUCCGUUAUCCGGGUCGGGGACAGUUUCAGUUGGGCAGUUUGACUGGGGCGGUCGCCUCCUAAACAGUAACGGAGGCGCCCAAUGGUUCCCUCAGGCUGGUCGGAAAUCAGCCAUCGAGCGUAAAGGUAGAAGGGAGCUUGACUGAGAGAGAGACAUCUCGAUCAGGGACGAAAGUCGGGCUUAGUGAUCCCACGACUCCGCAUGGAAGGGUCGUUGCUCAUCGGACAAAAGUUACCAUAGGGAUAACAGGCUGAUCUCGCCCAAGAGUCCACAUCGACGGCGAGGUUUGGCACCUCGAUGUCGGCUCAUCGCAUCCUGGAGCGGUAGUACGUUCCAAGGGUUGGGCUGUUCGCCCAUUAAAGCGGUACGUGAGCUGGGUUCAGAACGUCGUGAGACAGUUCGGUCCAUAUCCGGCAUGCCCGUAGGAUUUUUGAGAGGAGUCGUCCCUAGUACGAGAGGACCAGGACGAACGAGCCGCCAGUAUGGCUGUUAUCGCGCCAGCGGUAAACGCAGCGUAGCUGUGCUCGGAGCGGAUAAGUGCUGAAAGCAUAUAAGUACGAAGCCCACCUCAAGAUGAGAAAUCCCAUGGAGUUAAUCCAGUAAGACCCCCGGAAGACCACCGGGUUGAUAGGACGCAGGUAGAAGUGCCCCGCAAGGCAAGCACGUAGCUGAGCGUUACUAAUCGGUCGAGGGCUUAACCAA